rnacentral:rRNA from 1 species
UACAGAGGGUGCAAGCGUUAAUCGGAGUUACUGGGCGUAAAGGGCGCGUAGGCGGUCAUGUAAGUUGGAUGUGAAAUCCCUGGGCUUAACCUAGGAACUGCAUCCAAAACUGUAUGGCUAGAGUGCGGUAGAGGGUAGUGGAAUUUCCGGUGUAGCGGUGAAAUGCGUAGAUAUCGGAAGGAACACCAGUGGCGAAGGCGGCUACCUGGACUGACACUGACGCUGAGGCGCGAGAGCGUGGGGAGCAAACAGG